CCUACGGGAGUCAGCAGUAGGGAAUUUUCGUCAAUGGGCGCAACCCUGCACGAGCAAUGCCGCGUGAACGAAGACGGUCUUCGGAUCGUAAAGUUCUGUUGAAGGGGAAAAAGUGCGGAGAGAGGAAAUGGUCUCCGAUUGAUAUUACCCUUCGAGGAAGUCACGGCUAACUACGUGCCAGCAGCCGCGGUAAUACGUAGGUGGCGAGCGUUAUCCGGAUUGAUGGGGCGUAAGGGGUGCGUAGGCGGCCUGCUAAGUCUGGUGUGAAAGGUACCGGCUCAACCGGUACAGGCUCUGGAAACUGGCGGGCUAGAGAGCAGGAGAGGGCGGUGGAAUUCCAGGUGUAGCGGUAAAAUGCGUAGAUAUAUGGAAGAACACCAGUGGCGAAGGCGGCCGCCUGGCCUGUUACUGACGCUGAGGCACGAAAGCGAGGGGAGCAAAUAGGAUUAGAUACCCUGGUAGUC
rnacentral:rRNA from 1 species